GUCCAGACUCCUACGGGAGGCAGCAGUGGGGGAUAUUGCACAAUGGGGGGAACCCUGAUGCAGCGACGCCGCGUGGGUGAAGGAGCGUUUCGGCGCGUAAAGCCCUGUCGGCAGGGAAGAAGGAGGACGGUACCUGACUAAGAAGCCCCGACUAACUACGUGCCAGCAGCCGCGGUAAUACGUAGGGGGCAAGCGUUAUCCGGAUUUACUGGGUGUAAAGGGAGCGUAGACGGCUAUGCAAGUCUGGAGUGAAAGGCAGGGGCCCAACCCCCGGACUGCUCUGGAAACUGUAGAGCUAGAGUGCAGGAGAGGUAAGUGGAAUUCCUAGUGUAGCGGUGAAAUGCGUAGAUAUUAGGAGGAACACCAGUGGCGAAGGCGGCUUACUGGACUGUAACUGACGUUGAGGCUCGAAAGCGUGGGGAGCAAACAGGAUUAGAUACCCGAGUAUG
rnacentral:rRNA from 1 species